UCCUCACCAUCUGCUGUGACCCAGGUAUCCUAACAAUGAUCGUGGUAUCUGACGUUUACUGAGCUCUCACUAUGUGCUAAGCAUGUGCUGUGUAUCAUCAUCUAAACUCCUGACAAUCCUAUUAGCCCCCAAGUUACAGAGAAAGGGACUGGGGCAUAGCAUAGGGAGGGUGACUUGUCCAAGGCCACAGUUCAAGACCAUGACAGAGCUGGGAUUUAAAUAGAUCUCUCAUGACUCUCCAAAUUUUACAAAGGGGCAGGGGAGGGGAGGAGCUGUCAAAACAUCAAGCUUGGGCUGGCACUGGCUAUAUGUUGAAUUGAGCCUUCCUUUUAGUUUUUGAAGGAACAUCUUUCAGGCCCUCUUGACAAAGGGGGAUUUAUUUACUUCAUGUGACCUGGUUAAUAUAUGUAAAGGUUCAGCCUAGGGCCUAGUCCAGAGAUAGCGGUGGUCAUUGUUACCCCAUAAUGGCAUUGGUGCAAGUCCUUUCUUAUCUAUCCUGUCACAUGCCUCAUAGCCAUUUAUAUAGGCAAGGCAGGCAUUAGGCUGCCCAUCUUGUAGAUGAGUAAACUGAGGCCCAGAGAGGGGAAAUAUGUUGCAGGUCAAUAGCAGAGUUGAGGUCUCUCCACAACUCAAAUAUGCCACAGUGCCUCCUUGUGGAGAGGAGGCCAAAAGCAGGGCUGAAAUCGUUCUCUUGAGGUGUCAGAAGUGGGAUUGCGACCGGGCUGAUGUAAUAUUUUUAGAUAUGGCCAGGAGGACACAGGCUAAGUUUUUAGCUGAGAAGUGUCAUCUAAAAGGCAGAAGGCAGAGACUCUAGAGGACCUUUGAGUUAGAAUGUGUCUGAGAGUAACUCUUCCAACUUCUCACGUAUGUACAGGUAUCUCUAAGGGGCUGACCUAGGAAGGGUCCUUUCCAAUGGCCAUUGAUUGAUCCAGUCCCACAACUGGAAAGCUUACAAGAAUUGGGUUCAGAGGGGAUUACACUUGAUAAUUACAGAAGGACCACCUACUUCUUUUUUUUUUUUUUUUGAGAUGGAUGCUGGGAUUACAGGCGUGAGCCACUGCGCCUGGCCAGGACCACCUACUUCUUAGAGGAAAGAUGGUGGGAGGUUGCUUAGGAUGUGGGCCAAGAGGGUCAGAGAUUUUGCUUCACCUGAACUCAGUGGGGCUUCUCCAGGGAUAUUAACCUGGACUUUAAGGGUCAGAGUGAGUCCCUGGGACUGGUCCAGCCUGUGCAGGAUUCAGACGGGAAGAAGGUGGAGAUUUUUCACCUGGAGAAAGACAGGAAUGUCCCACACAAACCUAAUUUGGCAUUGUCCCCUCCCAAACUUCCACCCCUCCCCAUAGCUUAAAAGUGUUGGGGGCUUCUCCAGUUGAGAUGGGGGAACAAAGAGAACCAACAAGCUGGAAAAAACUAGAGUUGAGGCCUUUGGCCUAGUCAUCAUCCAGGCCGAUUUCUCAGAACCACUACUUUCUCUUCAACUACUUUGCCCAUCCCAUAAUAGAACCCCAAAUCCUUCCUGUUCAUUCCUCAGUAGGUCCCAAGUUUCCUUCCAGAAACUCAGAAGGCAUCAGAAGCUGAAUUGCAAAGUUCUUUAGAGCACAGACUCUGAAUUCAAAGAGCUGAGUUAAACUCCA